AGACUGGUAGCUCAGCGGUUAGAGCGGUGUGCUGAUAACGCAUAGGUCGGUGGUUCGAUUCCACUCCAGUCUA
rnacentral:tRNA from 1 species